rnacentral:rRNA from 1 species
CCUACGGGAGGCAGCAGUGAGGAAUAUUGGUCAAUGGACGAGAGUCUGAACCAGCCAAGUAGCGUGAAGGAUGACUGCCCUAUGGGUUGUAAACUUCUUUUAUAAAGGAAUAAAACGAGGCACGUGUGCCGUUUUGCAUGUACUUUAUGAAUAAGGAUCGGCUAACUCCGUGCCAGCAGCCGCGGUAAUACUGAGGAUCCGAGCGUUAUCCGGAUUUAUUGGGUUUAAAGGGAGCGUAGAUGGGUUGUUAAGUCAGUUGUGAAAGUUUGCGGCUCAACCGUAAAAUUGCAAUUGAUACUGGCAGUCUUGAGUACAGUUGAGGUAAGCGGAAUUCGUGGUGUAGCGGUGAAAUGCUUAGAUAUCACGAAGAACCCCGAUUGCGAAGGCAGCUUACUAAACUGUGACUGACAUUGAUGCUCGAAAGUGUGGGUAUCAAACAGGAUUAGAUACCCCUGUAGUC